rnacentral:rRNA from 1 species
AUUGAACGCUGGCGGCAUGCUUUACACAUGCAAGUCGAACGGUAACAGGUCUUCGGAUGCUGACGAGUGGCGAACGGGUGAGUAAUGCAUCGGAACGUGCCCAGUCGUGGGGGAUAACGCAGCGAAAGCUGUGCUAAUACCGCAUACGAUCUAUGGAUGAAAGCGGGGGAGUCGCAAGACCUCGCGCGAUUGGAGCGGCCGAUGUCAGAUUAGCUAGUUGGUGGGGUAAAGGCCCACCAAGGCGACGAUCUGUAGCUGGUCUGAGAGGACGACCAGCCACACUGGGACUGAGACACGGCCCAGACUCCUACGGGAGGCAGCAGUGGGGAAUAUUGCACAAUGGGCGCAAGCCUGAUGCAGCAACGCCGCG